ensembl:snRNA U1 U1 spliceosomal RNA
AUACUUACCUGGCAGGGGAGAUGCCAGGAUCACGAAGGUGGUUUUCCCGGGGCGAGGCUUAUCCAUUGCACUCCGGAUGCGCAGACCCCUGUGAUUUCCCCAAACGUGGGAAACUUGACUGCAUGAUUUGUGGUAGUGGGGGGCUGCGUUCACACUCUCCCUUG